UUGAAUAAGUUAAAGUUCCAAGUUGUGCAACGAACGUGAUGUCAGUUGCUCGGCUUGCUGGUUCAAGUUCGCCUUUUCAAAAUGUUCCAUCGACUCCUUUAACUGCAAGUGCAACAAGCCGAAGACGUUUUUGGGGUAGCAGCUCUCCUUCAGCAGUAGUUCCACAACACCAGACCUUAUAUUCAUCUCCAUAUCAUCAUACAUUUUCUCAAAAUAGCCAGGAAUACGUCAUCCACGAUGAACAGAGAACACCUUCGGCCGUUCCAGGAGCCUUUGAAAUGGAGAAUUAUGACUAUCAUUUAGAUCAAUCUUUAAUUUCUGAAAACGCCAGAACAGCGGAUGUCGAACAAGUUGUUCCUGCUACACCACCGGGCAUACAUCAUGGACUAGACUCAUCUCCACACACAUUUAGACACCCCUUACACCUUCCUUUCAGAAUCAAUUCUUGGAGUUCCAUGACACCCAGACAGAAUGUGACCAGUUAUCUGCAACGGACACCGGAAUACAGAGCUUAUUCCCCAUCCUCGUUAGUGCUUUCGCAGGAAGAACCAAGAACUCCACAAACAACACUGACUAGAACCCAUCAAGUUUUAAGUGGUUCAAAUAUUCGACAUACACCAAGACGGGGUGUGGACAAUUUCAGAAAUCUACGAACACCCCAAUACUCAAGACGUCGAAAUUUGAAUGCAAAUGAAAAUUUCGAAACUCCAAGAAGACGUACUGUUUUACUAGAGAGGCGUUCUACUCCAGUAUUUAAUGUGGAACACCUCGCUAUUCGGCGUAAUGCCGUUGAAAUAGACUUUUUCA